rnacentral:rRNA from 1 species
UACGUAGGGUGCGAGCGUUGUCCGGAAUUAUUGGGCGUAAAGAGCUCGUAGGCGGUGUGUCACGUCGGCCGUGAAAACCUGCAGCUUAACUGUGGGCGUGCGGUCGAUACGGGUAUCACUGGAGUUCGGCAGGGGAGACUGGAAUUCCUGGUGUAGCGGUGAAAUGCGCAGAUAUCAGGAGGAACACCAAUAGCGAAGGCAGCUCGCUGGGACGUUACUGACACUGAGGCGCGAAAGCGUGGGGAGCGAACAGG